AUUGAACGCUGGCGGCAGGCCUAACACAUGCAAGUCGAGCGGAUGAAGGGAGCUUGCUCCUGGAUUCAGCGGCGGACGGGUGAGUAAUGCCUAGGAAUCUGCCUGGUAGUGGGGGAUAACGUCCGGAAACGGGCGCUAAUACCGCAUACGUCCUGAGGGAGAAAGUGGGGGAUCUUCGGACCUCACGCUAUCAGAUGAGCCUAGGUCGGAUUAGCUAGUUGGUGGGGUAAAGGCCUACCAAGGCGACGAUCCGUAACUGGUCUGAGAGGAUGAUCAGUCACACUGGAACUGAGACACGGUCCAGACUCCUACGGGAGGCAGCAGUGGGGAAUUUUGGACAAUGGGCGAAAGCCUGAUCCAGCCAUGCCGCGUGUGUGAAGAAGGUCUUCGGAUUGUAAAGCACUUUAAGUUGGGAGGAAGGGCAGUAAGUUAAUACCUUGCUGUUUUGACGUUACCAACAGAAUAAGCACCGGCUAACUUCG
rnacentral:rRNA from 1 species